AUGAGUGAAUGAUAUUAUCAACGACUUAUAACUUGAACUUUUAAACUACAAAAUUUAAAAACUUAUAAAAAAUACUCCACGAAAAAUUAUAAUUCAUUUAAAUUUUUAACAUAUAUUAUAAAAUUAAAAGAGAAUAAAUAUAUUAAUGCGUUUUGUAAAGUGGGAUAUGAAACAUACAAAUGGUCAAUUUAACACCCACAUCAAACUCUGUCAAAAAUAAAAGACUAUAGAUACUAAAGAGUAAUGAAUUACGGAGAGCAAAAGUUGUAUGCACUGAUUUACUAUAAAUAAUACAAUAAUUGAGGGAGCUAAUAACGCAUCCCGUUUAUAAAAAUAAUAGUUUAAACUUGAGGUGUCAUUUUACUAUUUUUACCUACAAGUACCUUUUCAUAAUAUGGUCUCAACGACGGGAUAAACCCAUUUAAGUAUGGCGAAUGGAAAGCGUAACCCAUCGAAUCUACAGGUUUAGCAAAU